rnacentral:misc_RNA from 1 species
CAAGAUGUGUAGCUGCCUUUCCUGAUCGGGAAGGUUUCUUGGUUGGUUCAAUAGAGGGAAGGGUUGGUGUCCAUCACCUUGACGAGUCUAUGGCAAAUAAGAACUUCACUUUCAAGUGCCACAGGGAUGGGUCUGAGAUAUAUUCUGUCAACUCCUUGAACUUCCAUCCUGUGCAUCACACUUUUGCAACUGCAGGGUCGGAUGGUGCUUUUAAUUUCUGGGACAAGG